UGAAAAACACUGUUGUAUAAUGUUUGUAUAGUUUAUCUAAUAUGAUGGUUAUUGUCCAUCAUUAGACAUGUACAAGAUUUUGCCUUCACAUUUUCGACUUGAUGUAUAUAUGUAUUUGUAAUAUUUUUAAUACACAACCAAUAAUAUAACAGAAUUUUCUAAAGGCGAAGAAGCAUGGUGGAUAUAAAAGUGAUUCAUUCUCAGCAGCCAAGUGUUAUUUUUAUGGCACAUAUUAGGCAAAAUACUCUUUGGCAUUAACAUAACAAAUGCUUUUUGAUAUUGUUGUUACAUUGCUCAAUAUAUGUAUUCAACUUAUCAAAUAAAUUCGAACAUCAAACAAGUUGGAUAUGUAUGUGAUAAUUGAGGAUUUGUGUAUAACAUAUUUAGUGAUGAGCCAGCCAAUCGGAGGAGCCGGCCAACCAGCUCUAAUAGCAAUAAAUAUUAAUGUUGAUGUUCGGGUUUGUUUGUAUAAGUAGUAUAUUUUUUUAGUUUAGUCAAUAUUAAAUUUAAAUACUAAACAAAAUCACGAAGCAUACAUUAAAUUUAAAUGUAUAAGGGGUCUGCACUCGCAAUACUUCUCACUUGUAGGCAGAGACAAGGCGGUGGAGAAUGCACUAACCGCGCCCAAAGCAGACCGAUUGCAAUAAAUCAUAUCUUGUUCUCUCUUUGCAACUGAUUUGUAAUACUGCAGUAUUGCAUGCAAAUACUCGUAAAGCGUACGUUUAAAUAACAUCAGGAAAACGACACUUACAAUUAGAUCAAUAUUAUCAGUAUAAGCAUCAGCAUCAGCAUCAGCAUCAGCAUCAGCAUCAGCAUCAGUAUCAGCAUCAGCUGCUAUCUUCUUAAUUACUCAUCUUACAUUUGAAUAUUUCAAGUGAAAAAGUAACACUUACAUUGUGAAGAGAAGUAAUUAACCGAUGGACCAGCUAGAGAUCACUUGGUUAUUGAUGCUUUAUGAAACUUAAAAAUAUUGCUGCUUUAACUAAAUAUUGCAGAAUUGUAAAAAUGUAAUUUGGAUUUAGAUUAAAUAUUAAAGAUAUUUCAGUAUUAAAGACUAUUGAUUGAUUGAUUGAUUGAUUGAUUGAUUGAUUGAUUAUAUGUCUGAUGUACCCCCACAAAGUAUUAUUAUUAUUAUUAUUAUUAUUAUUAUUAUUAUUAUUAGUAUUAUAUUUAUUUCUUUUAAAAUGGAAUGGACAACGGAUUGAAUGGGUUGUCUCAUCACACGUGUCUUAAAACAAAAAAUAAAAAGAUAUAAAUAACUUUUUACUGUAUAUAUUUAUGUUUUUUAAAUCCAGAUAUGUGUAAAUUUGCACCACUUUGAAUUAUUUGCUGAUCUAUAAAAAUAUAUAUAUAUUAAAAAAUAAAAUGAUUUUUUUUA